AUGCCCGGCCCGCUCAAGCGCCCCUCCCUCGGCCGCCUGCUCGCCGCCCUCCGCUCGCCGUCCCGCGUCCCGGUCCAGACCGGCUUCCCCACCUCCCUCGCCGACCUCGUCGUCAAGAACCAUGGCCGCCUCAGGAAGCCCCGCAAGCCGCGCCGCCCCACCGCCCUGGCGCUGCCCCCGUCUCCGCCGGAGACCCCGGUGGACGUAGGGGAGACUCCUUCGCUGCCGCCAUCGCCCGGGCCGCUCUCGCCGGUGGUCGUGGAGGAGUCCUCGGCCCCGGUGGUGCGGCGGCUCGACGCGCGUAAAGGCGCCGCCUUCUUCCGGCCCCGCCCGGAGCUCCUCGCGCUCGGCGGGGCCGUGGCGCUCGCGCUCCUCGCCGUGUGGAGGGAGGGGACCGUCGCGGCCUUCACCAUCGCCUCGCUGUCGUUGCUCUGGAUCGAGUCGGCCUCCCGCCGGCGUCGGCGCUCCUCGCGCCCGGCGGAGCUGCCCGAUUCGCGCGGCCCCGCCCCCGUCUCGCCGAUCCGGGAGGCGGAAGAAGCGCCCGGGCCAUCCAGCUGCUCCGAUUCCGACAGGAACAGCGAGGCCCCCUCCCCUCGGCCCUCCGGCGGCGAAGAUCCGGCCACCCCCAAGAGGAAACCGAGGAGGUCGCUGAGGAAGAUAAUCUCCAAGACGCUGCAGAAGAAGCCCAAGGCGAAGGAUGCCUCAUGCUCUACCGACGGCGAGGUCGAGCAGCCGGAGCCAGUUAGAACCGAGGCCUUUGUAAUUCCAGCCCCUUCCUUGGCCGAGCAGACGCCGUCGGAACCAAGCACAGGAUCGUCGGUGGAGAUGAAGAUGGAGAUGGAAAGGCGAGGGGGCAGAUUCCCCCUGGCGGCGUUCGUCCCGGUCAUCCUCGCGGGCCUCGCCGCCGGGAAGCUCCCGGCGACGGCGCUGGCCGUGCUCUGCGUGGCCUUCUUCGGCUCGCGCCGUCGAGCGAAUUUAGGCCGCCAGUAA
rnacentral:rRNA from 1 species